rnacentral:rRNA from 1 species
GACAGAGGCCUCGAGCGUUAGGCGGAAUCACUGGGCUUAAAGCGUCCGCAGGUGGCACUUCAAGUCUGUCGUCAAAGACUGGGGCUUAACCCUGGAAAGGCGGUGGAAACUGAAGCGCUAGAGUGCGGUAGGGGUAGAGGGAAUUCCCGGUGUAGCGGUGAAAUGCGUAGAGAUCGGGAAGAACAUCGGUGGCGAAAGCGCUCUACUGGACCGCAACUGACACUCAGGGACGAAAGCUAGGGGAGCGAAUGGG